AUUGAACGCUGGCGGCAUGCCUUACACAUGCAAGUCGAACGGCAGCACGGGAGCUUGCUCCUGGUGGCGAGUGGCGAACGGGUGAGUAAUAUAUCGGAACGUGCCCAGUAGUGGGGGAUAGCCCGGCGAAAGCCGGAUUAAUACCGCAUACGAUCUACGGAUGAAAGCGGGGGAUCGCAAGACCUCGCGCUAUUGGAGCGGCCGAUAUCUGAUUAGCUAGUUGGUGAGGUAAAGGCUCACCAAGGCGACGAUCAGUAGCUGGUCUGAGAGGACGACCAGACACAAUGGAACUGAGACACGGUCCAGACUCCUACGGGAGGCAGCAGUGGGGAAUUUUGGACAAUGGGGGAAACCCUGAUCCAGCAAUGCCGCGUGAGUGAAGAAGGCCUUCGGGUUGUAAAGCUCUUUUGUCAGGGAAGAAACGGUUCUGGCUAAUAUCCAGAGCUAAUGACGGUACCUGAAGAAUAAGCACCGGCUAACUACGUGCCAGCCGCCGCAGUAA
rnacentral:rRNA from 1 species